rnacentral:tRNA from 1 species
CCGCUAGUGGUGUAAUGGCGCAGAGCAUUCCUGUAUGGUCAGCAGUUGGUGCGGGUUCGAGUCCCGCCUGGCGCU